AGUGAACGCUGGCGGUAGGCCUAACACAUGCAAGUCGAACGGCAGCACAGUAAGAGCUUGCUCUUACGGGUGGCGAGUGGCGGACGGGUGAGGAAUACAUCGGAAUCUACUUUUUCGUGGGGGAUAACGUAGGGAAACUUACGCUAAUACCGCAUACGCCCUACGGGUGAAAGCAGGGGAUCUUCGGACCUUGCGCGAAUGAAUGAGCCGAUGUCGGAUUAGCUAGUUGGCGGGGUAAAGGCCCACCAAGUCGACGAUCCGUAGCUGGUCUGAGAGGAUGGUCGGCCACACUGGAACUGAGACACGGUCCAGACUCCUACGGGAGGCAGCAGUGGGGAAUAUUGGACAAAGGGCGCGAGCCUGAUCCAGCCAUACCGCGUGGGUGGAGAAGGCCUUCGGGUUGUGAAGCCCGUUUGUUGGGAAAGAAGAGCAGCAGGUUAAUACCCCGCUGUUCUGACGGUACCGAAAGAAUAAGCACCGGCUAACUUCGUG
rnacentral:rRNA from 1 species